AGUGAACGCUGGCGGUAGGCCUAACACAUGCAAGUCGAACGGCAGCACAGUAAGAGCUUGCUCUUACGGGUGGCGAGUGGCGGACGGGUGAGGAAUACAUCGGAAUCUACUUUUUCGUGGGGGAUAACGUAGGGAAACUUACGCUAAUACCGCAUACGACCUACGGGUGAAAGCAGGGGAUCUUCGGACCUUGCGCGAUUGAAUGAGCCGAUGUCGGAUUAGCUAGUUGGCGGGGUAAGGGCCCACCAAGGCGACGAUCCGUAGCUGGUCUGAGAGGAUGAUCAGCCACACUGGAACUGAGACACGGUCCAGACUCCUACGGGAGGCAGCAGUGGGGAAUAUUGGACAAUGGGCGCAAGCCUGAUCCAGCCAUACCGCGUGGGUGAAGAAGGCCUUCGGGUCGUAAAGCUCUUUUGUUGGGAAAGAAAAGCAGCAGGUUAAUCCCCCGCUGUUCUGACGGUACCCAAAGAAUAAGCACCGGCUAACUUCGUG
rnacentral:rRNA from 1 species